GCUUGUCUCAAAGAUUAAGCCAUGCAUGUCUUAGUGUAAAUAACUCUUAUGAAACUGCGAAUGGCUCAUUAAAUCAGUUAUCAAAUACGUGAUGGUCGCCUACUACAUGGAUAACCGUAGUAAUUCUAGAGCUAAUACAUGCACAAAGGCCCACUCACGUGGGUUGUGAUUAUUAGAUUCAAACCGGCCUCGUUCUGGUGAUUCAUAAUAAUUGGUCGAACCGCAUGCCCUUGUGGUGGCGGUGAUUCAUCCUUAUUUCUGCCCUAUCAACUGUGGACGGUAGGAUCGAGGCCUACCGUGGUGGUGACGGGUACGGGGAAUCGGGGUUUGAUUCCGGAGAGGGAGCCUGAGAGAUGGCUACCACUUCCAAGGAAGGCAGCAGG
rnacentral:rRNA from 1 species